AUGACUGCAAAAAUUAUGCACAAAGAAGAAGCGCAUUUGAAUCCAGAGAUGUAUCUCUCUGAAUCUGGAUAUAUGGAUCCUGGCAGCCUGUUCAGUAGCCAUUUCCCAGAAAUCCAGUCCUCUGGAAAAGCAGCAGGAGGUUUGUGCACAGGCUGCACUACCUUGGCUGGUCACACCCGGUGCAGGAGUCAGUCCCAGUCAGGACACAGCACAGAUGUGAGGGCCCCCACUCAGCUCCUGGGGCUCCUGGUGCUCUGGCUGCCAGGUGCCAGAUGUGACAUCCAGAUGACCCAGUCUCCAUCCUCCCUGUCUGCAUCUGUAGGAGACAGAGUCACCAUCACUUGCCGGGCGAGUCAGGGCAUUAGCAAUAAUUUAAAUUGGUAUCAGCAGAAACCAGGGAAAACUCCUAAGCUCCUGAUCUAUGCUGCAUCCAGUCUGCAAAGUGGGAUUCCCUCUCGGUUCAGUGACAGUGGAUCUGGGACAGAUUACACUCUCACCAUCAGCAGCCUGCAGCCUGAAGAUUUUGCAACUUAUUACUGUCAACAGAGUGACAGUACCCCUCCCACAGUGUUACAAGUCAUAACAUAA